rnacentral:rRNA from 1 species
CCCGAUCUGACCCCGGACGUGAAGUCGACGAUGGUCGGUGGGCUGGUUUUGGUAAGCAGAACGGGCGAUUCGGGAUGAACCGGAAGCGGGGAGAAAGGGCCCGAGAUUGCGUCGACGCGGAUCCCGAAAAGGGCGUCGAUCCGUCGCGACAGCGGGACGGUGGUCAUGGAAGUCGAAAUCCGCUAAGAAGCGUGUAAAAACGUACCCGCCCAACGGAUCGGCCCCGAAAAUUGAUGGCGCUCGAACGCAACCCUCGAACCCCGCCGACGGAGGCUAGGGGAGGCCCCGUCGAGUAGGCGGACGCGCGGGUCGCUUCGACGCUCUCGCGCGAGCGGGGGCGGAGCGGCCCGUGGUGCAUCUUGGUGGUAGUAGCGAUCACCCAGGCGAGAACCCUGAGGGCCGAAGUGGAGAAGGGUUUCUCGAGAACGGCACUCGCUCGAGAGUUAGUCGAUCCUAAGCUGCCGGCGGCAGCCACGAAACGGUCGAUCGGGCGCGAGCCCGGCAGCCACGACCGGGCAGCGAAAGGGAAUUGGGAACCUCCUUCCCAAACCCGGAACCGGAACGAG